rnacentral:rRNA from 1 species
CCUACGGGUGGCUGCAGUGAGGAAUAUUGGUCAAUGGGCGCUAGCCUGAACCAGCCAAGUAGCGUGAAGGAUGACUGCCCUAUGGGUUGUAAACUUCUUUUAUAUGGGAAUAAAGUGCAGUAUGUAUACUGCUUUGCAUGUACCUUAUGAAUAAGGAUCGGCUAACUCCGUGCCAGCAGCCGCGGUAAUACGGAGGAUCCGAGCGUUAUCCGGAUUUAUUGGGUUUAAAGGGAGCGUAGGCGGGUUCUUAAGUCAGUUGUGAAAGUUUGCGGCUCAACCGUAAAAUUGCAGUUGAUACUGGGGUCGUUGAGUGCGGUGGAGGUAGGCGGAAGUCGUGGUGUAGCGGUGAAAUGCUUAGAUAGCACGAAGAACUCCGAUUGCGAAGGAAGCCUACUGUAGUGUUACUGACGCUGAGGCUCGAAGGUGCGGGUAUCGAACAGGAUUAGAUACCCUUGUAGUC